rnacentral:rRNA from 1 species
UUCCGGUUGAUCCUGCCAGAGGUCACUGCUAUCGGGGUUCGAUUAAGCCAUGCGAGUCGAGAGGGUUCGNCCCUCGGCGUACUGCUCAGUAACACGUGGAUAACCUGCCCUAGGGGAGGGGAUAACCCCGGGAAACUGGGGAUAAUNCCCUAUAGGUUACAGAUGCUGGAAUGCCCUGUAACCAAAAGCUCCGGCGCCCUAGGAUGGAUCUGCGGCCGAUUAGGUUGUUGUUGGGGUAACGGCCCAACAAGCCCGUAAUCGGUACGGGUUGUGGGAGCAAGAGCCCGGAGUUGGAUUCUGAGACACGAAUCCAGGCCCUACGGGGCGCAGCAGGCGCGAAACCUUUACAAUGCGGGCAACCGUGAUAAGGGAACCUCGAGUGCCUGUAAACGCAGGCUGUUCAGGUGUUUAAAACGCACCUGGAGAAAGGGCCGGGCAAGACCGGUGCCAGCCGCCGCGGUAAUACCGGCGGCUCGAGUGGUGGCCGCUUUUAUUGGGCUUAAAGCGUUCGUAGCUGGGUUGUUAAGUCUCUUGGGAAAUCUGGCGGCUUAACCGUCAGCGUCUAAAGGGAUACUGGCAAUCUUGGAACCGGGAGAGGUGAGGGUACUUCGGGGGUAGGGUGAAAUCCUGUAUCCUCGAGGGACC